GUGAGGAAUUUUCCGCAAUGGGCGAAAGCCUGACGGAGCAAUGCCGCGUGAAGGAUGAAGGCCUAUGGGUUGUAAACUUCUUUUCUCAGAAAAGAAUUAUGACGGUAUCUGAGGAAUAAGCAUCGGCUAACUCUGUGCCAGCAGCCGCGGUAAGACAGAGGAUGCAAGCGUUAUCCGGAAUGAUUGGGCGUAAAGCGUCUGUAGGGUGUUUAAAAAGUAUUCUGUCAAAGAUUAGGGCUUAACCCUAGAUAGGCAGAAUAAACUUUUAAGCUAGAGUUUGGUAGAGGCAGAGGGAAUUCCCGGUGGAGCGGUGAAAUGCGUAGAUAUCGGGAGGAACACCAAAGGCGAAGGCACUCUGCUGGGCCAAUACUAACACUGAGAGACGAAAGCGAGGGGAGCAAAUGGGAUUAGAUACCCCUGUAGUCC
rnacentral:rRNA from 1 species